GCCAGCAGCCAUAUCAUAUCAGCAAAACCGCAGCUCUCAACUGGCAGCCCACUGAAGCUCAGCAGGGUUGAGCCUGGUCAGUACCCGGAUGGGAGACCUCCUGGCAGGCUAUGGUUGCUGCUGGAA
rnacentral:rRNA from 1 species